AUAAUUUUAUGGGGUCGUUUAUAAGACACUAUUAUAGUAGGUAGUGCUUUUGCAACAACAAGAAUGAAUUGGGUGAGUUCGUCAUAGGCAUGUUACGCUCUUGGGAAUCCACCCAAGUUGCAUUUCAAAUCAUUCAAGGCAAUGAAAGACUAUCAGUUUUGAAUUGCCCCACCACUAAAGUUAACAAACGGAAAACUAAUAAUGACAGGUUUUGCAGCAAUGUCGGCCUAGGUUCUCGAAUUGAGACAUGGCAAUUACACCAGGGACGAUACUCUUGACAUACCUACCUAGACCUUUUAAAAGAGGAGCAUUGAUCUGCAAAGAUUCUUUCCUGCAUAUAAGGAUGAACUAGGUUGUUGGAGUGAAGGUACUCACUUGGUGUACCCUGCUUCGUUCAUUCUUGGUUGUAGGUUUAGGUUUCUUAUCUAAGGAUUGUAAGUCUAACUCCGCCUGGGAUAGCUGAUAGGUGAAUUGAGUAGUAUAUAACUCAUUGGUUAUCUCUGCCGGUCCCAAGCCCGGAUAAAGGAGGAGGGUUGGUGAAUAGGGCUAGUUGCCCAUUCGUCGUAAAACUUUAAGAAAUGUACACAGACAGCGGUGGCGAGUCUCUAUGAUGUCGGUCUAUUUGUCUGCACAAAACCGAUUGGAACCAAAUUUGGUACACAUAUUUAUAGACAUAAAAGGAAGAGCUUAGCAGAAUUGCGAAUGCUCAAGUGUGUCAAAGUUCCAAAACUGCCAAUUUUUGACGUUUUUCCAUAUUAUGGCUAAACUAUUGCAUCGUGCGGGUGGUAUGUGGGCUAGCCACAGUAUUUUUUAAAAUUUGUUUGAUUCCGUUUUAAAUUUCUUUCCUAGUCACAGUUAAAAAAGUUAUACAAUGCUUAUUUUGGGUACUUACAUUUUUACGGUUUAUACGGUUUUUUACGGUUAAAUGAUCCAUGCAAAAUACUGCAUCACAAUAUUUGCAAAAUUUAAGACGAAGGUGAAUAAAUGUGAACUAAUAGUUCACACUGCGUUUACGAAAAUGCAUAUGCGUUAGUACUUUUUAGAUGCAUUCAUGUAAUACGAUUUCUUCAUAAUUCUACUCACUAAGCAGAAAUUGUAAAGUGUUUGUCCAAAUAAAUCCUAAAUGAAUAUAGAAAGAAUUUCAUUUUAUGUGGGAGCAUUUUUUAACAUUUAAUAUUGUAUUCUUUCUACCCAAUUUUUUAGAACAUAAAUUUGACUGUUAAAAACAAUAUACCGCUGCGUUUGAAUUCUAUUCAAGUGCAUUUUUGGGGCCGUAGGUAAUGUGUUACAAGUUUGCCGUUUUUUAAAUUGUAUUGUGUGUUGCCUACAUUAUGUAGGUACAUUAUCAUCAAACCCUCAAACAAAACAGUUUCAAAAACAGAUUCACUGAAAGCUACUCAAAAAAGCAAGCAUAAUUGUAACUGUAGAAUUGGACAUUAUCCUACACCAGAAAAAAUACUGAAAUUUAAAAAUACGACAUGAUUAGGGAUAAAGUUACGCGCUAUACAAAAUUAGAGCAUAAUAUUUAAGGAUUAUGUUUUUUAAAUCAAUUUUCAGGAUACCUUUUUAAAAUGUUGGUGUUAUGUACCUAAUCGACUUAGUCAUGAAAACAAUGACGAAACGCAUUAAUUUCCAAACAGCUUCAGCAUUUAACGGUGCGCGGCGGAAGUGACGCCGUUGAGUGAAUCGUUAUCCAAUGUUUAUGGUGAGAAUGGUCCAUCAUAUUUAUUAAGUGUCCAUUAAUGGACCAGAAUUCUGGUUGAAUAAAUUUCGUCGGUGUUAAGGAUCCAUACAAGAUGAUCUAAAAUUUCGUAGACCUCUUGAGACAAAGAAUUGAAAAGUACAGAAUUAAAGCUCCAGUUAUUGUAAGCGAAGUGCACGUGUCAGAGGCGACAGUUUCGAAAAUAUAUAAGAGAUAUCGAUAUUUUUGAAAAAAAUUAUUAUUGGUGAUCCUCUAAUAAGACAAGAACCGAUGUACUGGGUGAUAAGGGAUACCUACCACCAAAAAAAAGCGAAAACGGAGUGUUCACCGGGAGCUUAGUAUUAUCAUAAUAUAUAAUAUAAUAAUAUAUAUAAUAAUUGUAUUAUACUAUGGUAUUAUGUACCUAACUGUGACAUUAUUACUAAAUUUUGACAUUUUAUUAAAAGCAAAUAUGUAAUCCA